GAUGAACGCUGGCGGCGUGCUUAACACAUGCAAGUCGAACGAAGCACUUUAUUUGAUUUCCUUCGGGACUGAUUAUUUUGUGACUGAGUGGCGGACGGGUGAGUAACGCGUGGGUAACCUGCCUUGUACAGGGGGAUAACAGCUGGAAACGGCUGCUAAUACCGCAUAAGCGCACAGCAUCGCAUGAUGCAGUGUGAAAAACUCCGGUGGUAUAGGAUGGACCCGCGUUGGAUUAGCUAGUUGGUGAGGUAACGGCCUACCAAGGCGACGAUCCAUAGCCGGGCUCAGAGAGUGACCGGCGACAUUGGGACUGGGAAGCGGCCCGAACUCCUGCGGGAGGGAGCAGUGGGGAAUAUUGCAAAAUGGGGGGAGGCCUGAUGGAGCUACGCUGCGUGAGCGAAGAAGUAUUGCGGUAUGUAAAGUACGAUCAGCAGGGGAGAUAAUGACGGUACCUGAAGAAGAAGCACCGGCUAAAUACGUG
rnacentral:rRNA from 1 species